UCAGGGGCCACAGGGAAAAUAUCAACUCCAGUAAUGACACAAGAGAGUUUAUUUACAUGGGUAGAGGGAAAAGACACUUGUUUGAAGGCUUCAGAGAAAACAACAUCCUUGCAUUUGGACACAGCGGGGUUCCCGUCUGAUUGACUGAGUGGACAAAGUUCUCGUAGUCCUCUUAUUGUUCGACGGCUUUUGAAAUUCUCCCGGUCUGGGAAUGAAACGCCUGUGGCAGAGGAUGAUAAAUUAGAGGAUGCUGCGUCAAAAUUGAAACUUUGACAAUUGCAUCUGGAGAUCCCUGCAUUCUGUUGCGCUUUGUCCUGCUGUCAAGAACACUUCCGGCAUGAGCGGCUCUCAUUCAAUGGCUGUGCUGCUUGUGAGGUGCUGAAACCCAAGAAGGGAGGAAGAGCACGCUGUCCGGGAGAACUAGCCGCUGCCGUCCACUAGGAGGCAGAGGAACCGCUGCCAUCCACCAGGAAGGGGAGGAGCCGUUGCAUCUGCCAGGGGACAGAGGACCCACUGCCUUCCGCCGGGAGGCGGAGGAACUGCUGCCGUAUGCCAGGGGACUGAGAAGCUGCUGGCAGCAGCCAGGAGGUGGAGGAGUCCACUGUUGUCCGCCAGGUGGCGGAGGAGUGGCUGAGGACCAGGUGGGUGGCGUGCCCGCGGGCACCGGAGUUUUUUUUCUUUUCUCUCUCUCUUCCCUCUCUCUCUCGGGCU